rnacentral:rRNA from 1 species
UGGGGAAUUUUCCGCAAUGGGCGAAAGCCUGACGGAGCAAUACCGCGUGAGGGAGGAAGGCUUUUGGGUUGUAAACCUCUUUUGAUUGGGAAGAAGAACUGACGGUACCAAUCGAAUCAGCAUCGGCUAACUCCGUGCCAGCAGCCGCGGUAAUACGGAGGAUGCAAGCGUUAUCCGGAUUUAUUGGGCGUAAAGCGUCCGCAGGUGGCUUAUCAAGUCUGCUGUCAAAGCGCGGAGCUUAACUCCGUACAGGCGGUGGAAACUGGUAGGCUAGAGUCUGGUAGGGGUUGCGGGAAUUCCCAGUGUAGCGGUGAAAUGCGUAGAUAUUGGGAAGAACACCGGCGGCGAAAGCGCGCAACUGGACCGGAACUGACACUCAUGGACGAAAGCUAGGGGAGCGAAUGGGAUUAGAUACCCCAGUAGUCA